UACGUAGGUCCCGAGCGUUGUCCGGAUUUAUUGGGUGUAAAGGGAGCGUGGACGGCUGUGCAAGCCAGAUGUGAAAGCCCGGGGCUCAACCCCGGGACUGCAUUUGGAACUGUGUAGCUGGAGUGUCGGAGAGGCAGGCGGAAUUCCUAGUGUAGCGGUGAAAUGCGUAGAUAUUAGGAGGAACACCAGUGGCGAAGGCGGCCUGCUGGACGAUGACUGACGUUGAGGCUCGAAAGCGUGGGGAGCAAACAGG
rnacentral:rRNA from 1 species